rnacentral:rRNA from 1 species
GACGAACGCUGGCGGCGUGCUUAACACAUGCAAGUCGAACGGAAAGGCCCUGCUUGUGUGGGGUGCUCGAGGGGCGAACGGGUGAGUAACACGUGAGUAACCUGCCCUUGACUUUGGGAUAACUUCAGGAAACUGGGGCUAAUACAGGAUAGGAGCUCCUGCUGCAGGGGGGGGGUUGGAAAGUUUCGGGGGUUGGGGAUGGAGUCGGGGCUUAUCAGCUUGUUGGUGGGGUAUCGGCUUACCCAGGCUUCGACGGGUCGCCGGCCUGGGAGGGGAACCAGGAACCUGGCGCCUGGGUUAGGCCCCAGUCUCCUACGGUAGGCAGCAGUCGAGAGUCUUGCCCAAUGGGCGGACGCCUGUUGCGGCAACGCCGCGUGCGGGAUGCCGGCCUUCGGGUUGUGAACCGCUUUCGGCUGUUACGAAGCGUGAGUGACGGUAAUGGGUGAAGAAGCACCGGCUAACUACGUG